AUUGAACGCUGGCGGCAUGCUUUACACAUGCAAGUCGAACGGCAGCGCGGGCUUCGGCCUGGCGGCGAGUGGCGAACGGGUGAGUAAUACAUCGGAACGUGCCCAGUAGUGGGGGAUAGCUCGGCGAAAGCCGGAUUAAUACCGCAUACGACCUGAGGAUGAAAGCGGGGGAUCUUCGGACCUCGCGCUAUUGGAGCGGCCGAUGGCGGAUUAGCUAGUUGGUGGGGUAAAGGCCUACCAAGGCGACGAUCUGUAGCUGGUCUGAGAGGACGACCAGCCACACUGGGACUGAGACACGGCCCAGACUCCUACGGGAGGCAGCAGUGGGGAAUUUUGGACAAUGGGCGAAAGCCUGAUCCAGCAAUGCCGCGUGUGUGAUGAAGGCCUUCGGGUUGUAAAGCACUUUUGGCGGGAACGAAAAGGACUGUGCCAAUACCACGGUUCGAUGACGGUACCCGCAGAAUAAGCACCGGCUAACUACGUG
rnacentral:rRNA from 1 species